rnacentral:rRNA from 1 species
AUUGAACGCUGGCGGCAGGCCUAACACAUGCAAGUCGAGCGAGUGGCGGACGGCUGAGUAAUGUUUGGUGACUGCGCGUUAGAAGGCGAUAAUUACUGGAAACGGUAGCUAAUACCGCAUACUAACGGGUAACCCAUAUUGGAUUAGCUAGUAGGUGAGGUAAUGGCUCACCUAGGCGACGAUCUCUAGCUGGUCUGAGAGGAUGAUCAGCCACACUGGGACUGAGACACGGCCCAGACUCCUACGGAGGCAGCAGUGGGGAAUAUUGCACAAUGGGCGCAAGCCUGAUGCAGCCAUCCCGCGUGUAUGAUGAAGGCUUUCGGGUUGUAAAGUACUUUUGGCAGAGAAGCGGUAUCUGCAGAAUAAGCACCGGCUAACUACGUGCCAGCAGCCGCGGUAAUUC